AUGAGCCAGGAAUAAAGCUGUCGAUCUUUCACUGAAUCCAGAAUGCACCGUUUGAGAUGAGCUUAGCCCUCCCUUAUGUGACUACUCGGAUAAUAUAUCUGCAGCUUACGAGAGAUGAUGCAGAGACAGGGACCCAGCUCCAGGCAGGUCAUGAACUGUAACCAUUUGGAAAACGAUGAAGUUGAACUAUAGAAAUAGCUGCCAAACAUCCUUUACAAGAUAUUGGCACCAGAAGGGUAAUUUUGCAAGAGACUUGAUGGAUGUGAGCACAUGACGGAGAUGCUGCACAAGCUGCUGAGUUCUUCCAGAAGUUUCUCUUUCACCAUAUGAAGCACAAGCUAGAUAAUCAGGAUAUGUUUGUCAACAGUUAACCCUGAGUACAUCGUCACUGUCACAGAGGAAGUAAGGAGCAGGAGUGGUGUUGCUCCAGGAUCUAUCAGAACAAGCUUUGGAAAGGAAGCAACAGAACAGAAAUGGACUGGCUGCAGUAUUUAGUAGAGUUAAAUUCAUGAAGAGUAAAUAAUUUAAGAUGCAAACUUGGCUGAGAGUGGAGCAGAAACAUUGCUACAAUUGCUGCCAUCUGCUUUAUAUUACAUCAGGAUAAGAUUAAUGAAGGGGAGACCAUCAGGUCACACAAUGGCGACACAGCAAUCAAGAUGCAUUGCCUCCUGCUGCCAAAAGCAUUCAACCAGACUAAAUAGAGUAAUCUACAAAGAGCAAUGUCAUCUCGUACUUUUAUUGAUUUAAACAAAAAUGAGCCAGUCAUCCACUAUCUGCACUGCUGUGAUAUUUUACAUGCUCCUGUCUCCGG